rnacentral:rRNA from 1 species
UACAGAGGUCCCGAGCGUUGUUCGGAUUCAUUGGGCGUAAAGGGUGCGUAGGCGGCGGGGAAAGUCUGAUGUGAAAUCCUGGGGCUCAACCCUGGAACUGCAUUGGAUACUUCCUUGCUAGAGUACUGGAGAGGAAACUGGAAUUUACGGUGUAGCAGUGAAAUGCGUAGAGAUCGUAAGGAAGACCAGUGGCGAAGGCGAGUUUCUGGACAGUUCCUGACGCUGAGGCACGAAGGCCAGGGGAGCAAACGGG